AGCCAGCAGCCAAUAGAUGUCGGCGGUCGCUCCAGAGCCCUCAGCCACAGCCACCGGCGGAUGCGGAGAGCAGCUAAUCCCAGGGCAGACCGGCCGGACCCCAGGGAUUCCCGGGGCCCCGGGGGGUGAAACAGGUGAGCCAUGGGCCAGGGGGAGCCGGGUGCCCAGCAGGAGAACGAGAAACCGAGAGAAUUAAGAGCGAGGAUAUGAAUGAGCCCUUUGUCAGAUGGCAUUUGUGGUGGACCCUACAUUUGAGCAGUGCCUUUGAAUGUAUGCGGCUCGCACUCAACAACCGAGUGUUCUUCCUCAACCAUGUAUUGAAAUGCUCCACUGUUCAUCUCCAAACAAAUUCAGACAAAAGGAACAUGGCCAUGAAAGGCACUAAGGAAACUCGAGACCCAAGACCUUCGGUUCUGUUUCUGGUCAGAAUUGCAAGGACCUCUGAUGUGAUCCAGGGUGCCCAGGAACGGUGGUCCUCAAUUUAUAUUUUGAAGUUAUAGAGAGCUCUUCCAAGAGUUAAACUGGAGCUCCCAUGUUAAGAACAGUCAAGGCAGAAAUUUACAUGUUUACUGAUGACAUUAUUCACGCUGUGCUUUUAAAAAAGGACAUUUGCAACAUAUCUCUGUGUAAUGUUUUAUCUUUUUACGGACUUCAAUAACCAUAGUUUGUUUUUUUUGUUUUUUUUUUUUUGAUGAACGUCAUUUUUUUCCUGCUCGACAUUUAAUGAGAUCCGCUCUGCUGAUUAAGUCACUCGAAACCCAUUGUCACGUCGGAAUCGUUUUUAAAAACCUGCCCCCCGAAAUUGCAACAUCAACGGAAAAGAAUUGUAAUUUGCGAUCUCACCCUAUUUUUACCUUUUCUCAGUGAUUUUUUUUUUUUUUAUCCUCAUCUUCUGUUUGGAUGCUUUAGAGAAAUUGUAAAUCAACAUAUCUGCAGGUGCCAUAUGGUUUCUGCCUACUGCGAGGCAAUGUUUGAGCGGCACACGAGAUGUUCCUAAGACUCGGGCUCGUUUUGAAAUGGAAGGUUGUCAACGUGAGCGUGCUACCAACACCGCGUGAAGACGAAGCUCCGUGUUGCCGUGGAAGAAAACGCAUUAAGAACUCAAGUAGGAGCAGAAAACCACCUCCAUCGCAGACACUUAAACCGACGCACGCGAGGGUCUCGGAGGCGCUGUGCCGGAGGGGUCUAGGCGUGGCUGAGCCGGUCCUCGCGUGGGGUCUCAGAGGGCUGUGUUCUCUCACCUGAAGGUUCAAACGUGAAACACCCCACUUCCGAACUCGCUCGGGGCGUCGGCAGGUCUCACUGCCUUGCAGCUACGGGACUGGAGAGCCCACGAUUUUGCUACCUGUCGUCUGGAGUCUCACCCCAGGUGCUACAGGCUGUCACAGUCCCUGGAGGCCACCCACAGCUCUACUCCUACAUGGACACUUCAGUCAUCAGACCCGUGUCAAGGCCCUUGGUUUGACUAGAUCAGACUCACUCAGGAUAAUCUCCCUUUUAGCAAACUCAGAAUCAACUAAUUGGGGACAUUAUUGCAGCUGAGAAAGCGCUUCACCAUGACCACGUUCGCCCCCGGCGGAAGUAAAUCCCAGCCCUGCCCCUAUGGAAAGGGCGUGGUUUUGAUAGGGCGUGAAUGCUCAGCGGACCACGGGAUGACCGGCCACCACAGAUGGUUUGAAUGGUAUUCCCAAAGGAUGAUGUCAUCCGAGGGCACUAGAAGUAACGGAAAAACACAUGGGUGUUAAAUUAAAACGCACGCACACACACA